CGGACGGGUGAGUAACGCGUGGGGAACCUGCCCUGUACCGGGGGAUAGCAGCCGGAAACGGCUGAUAAUACCGCAUAAGCGCACGAAUGUCGCAUGACAUGGUGUGAAAAACUCCGGUGGUAUAGGAUGGACCCGCGUCUGAUUAGCCGGUUGGUGGGGUAAAAGCCUACCAAAGCGAAGAUCAGUAGCCGAGUUGAGAGACUGACCGGCCACAUUGGGACUGAGACACGGCCCAGACUCCUACGGGAGGCAGCAGCU
rnacentral:rRNA from 1 species